UCAAUCUUUGUCCCAACAUCUGCUU
rnacentral:sRNA from 1 species